rnacentral:rRNA from 1 species
AGAGUUUGAUCCUGGCUCAGGACGAACGCUGGCGGCGCGCCUAACACAUGCAAGUCGAACGAGCGAGAGAGAGCUUGCUUUCUCGAGCGAGUGGCGAACGGGUGAGUAACGCGUGAGGAACCUGCCUCAAAGAGGGGGACAACAGUUGGAAACGACUGCUAAUACCGCAUAAGCCCACAGCUCGGCAUCGAGCAGAGGGAAAAGGAGCAAUCCGCUUUGAGAUGGCCUCGCGUCCGAUUAGCUAGUUGGUGAGGUAACGGCCCACCAAGGCGACGAUCGGUAGCCGGACUGAGAGGUUGAACGGCCACAUUGGGACUGAGACACGGCCCAGACUCCUACGGGAGGCAGCAGUGGGGAAUAUUGCACAAUGGGGGAAACCCUGAUGCAGCGACGCCGCGUGGAGGAAGAAGGUCUUCGGAUUGUAAACUCCUGUUGUUGAGGAAGAUAAUGACGGUACUCAACAAGGAAGUGACGGCUAACUACGUGCCAGCAGCCGCGGUAAAACGUAGGUCACAAGCGUUGUCCGGAAUUACUGGGUGUAAAGGGAGCGCAGGCGGGAAGACAAGUUGGAAGUGAAAUCCAUGGGCUCAACCCAUGAACUGCUUUCAAAACUGUUUUUCUUGAGUAGUGCAGAGGUAGGCGGAAUUCCCGGUGUAGCGGUGGAAUGCGUAGAUAUCGGGAGGAACACCAGUGGCGAAGGCGGCCUACUGGGCACCAACUGACGCUGAGGCUCGAAAGUGUGGGUAGCAAACAGGAUUAGAUACCCUGGUAGUCCACACCGUAAACGAUGAUUACUAGGUGUUGGAGGAUUGACCCCUUCAGUGCCGCAGUUAACACAAUAAGUAAUCCACCUGGGGAGUACGACCGCAAGGUUGAAACUCAAAGGAAUUGACGGGGGCCCGCACAA